rnacentral:rRNA from 1 species
GGAAACCUGGCGGCGUGCUUACACAUGCAGUCGAACGAUGAUCCCAGCUUGCUGGGGGAUUAGUGGCGAACGGGUGAGUAACACGUGAGUAACCUGCCCUUAACUCUGGGAUAAGCCUGGGAAACUGGGUCUAAUACCGGAUAUGACUCCUCAUCGCAUGGUGGGGGGUGGAAAGCUUUAUUGUGGUUUUGGAUGGACUCGCGGCCUAUCAGCUUGUUGGUGAGGUAAUGGCUCACCAAGGCGACGACGGGUAGCCGGCCUGAGAGGGUGACCGGCCACACUGGGACUGAGACACGGCCCAGACUCCUACGGGAGGCAGCAGUGGGGAAUAUUGCACAAUGGGCGAAAGCCUGAUGCAGCGACGCCGCGUGAGGGAUGACGGCCUUCGGGUUGUAAACCUCUUUCAGUAGGGAAGGAGCGAAAGUGACGGUACCUGCAGAAGAAGCGCCGGCUAACUACGUGCCAGCAGCCGCGGUAAU